rnacentral:rRNA from 1 species
GUUAGACGGGACCCGGCCACAAGCAGCGGAGCAUGUGGUUUAAUUCGUAAGCAACGCGAAGAACCUUACCACGAUCUUGACAUCCAAUUGUACCAUCUUUUAAUUCGAGAUUUUGCCUUCGGGUACGAUUGAGACAGGUGGUGCAUGGUUGUCGUCAGCUCGUGUCGUGAGAUGUUAGGUUAAGUCCCGCAACGAGCGCAACCCUUGUGUUUAGUUGCAAACAGGUCAAGCCGUGCACUCUAGACAGACUGCCGUGGACAACACGGAGGAAGGUGGGGAUGACGUCAAGUCAUCAUGGCCCUUAUGUCCAGGGCGACACACGUGCUACAAUGGCCGGCACAACGGGAAGCGAGUUCGCGAGGACGAGCGGAUCCCUCAAAGCCGGUCGCAGUUCGGAUUGAAGUCUGCAACUCGACUUCAUGAAGCUGGAAUCGCUAGUAAUCGUGGAUCAGCCAAGCCGCGGUGAAUACGUUCCCGGGCCUU